GAGCCCUGCCGGGCCAGCAGGCCGUGUGGCCACAGCGCCGGCAGUGCCGCUGGCAGGGAGCUGUGCCGCUGGGGCCGUGACAGGCUCUGUGUUCACAGGGAUGGCUGGGCAGUACCUGAGGGGGAAGAAGGAAGAGCUCCAGCUGAUCUGCACUGCCCUUGAACACCUGACAGAGGACAUCAGCAGUGCUGUGUCAGACAUGGCACUUCAAACAUUGUAUGUCCUCCGGGCACUAUAUAGUGAGCAAUAUUCCAUCUUCCAGAGGCUGCAAGAUCAAUUCCGCAGGGCAUGGAGGACACGGCCUCGUCUGUCGGGGCUCGACUGGCUGCGCUGCUGGAGCUCUGCAGAGAGCUGAGCCCACAGGCUGUGUCUGCUGGAGCAACCUGAGCCAGCGGGAAUUUUCUGUUUCUUUAAAAUUGUUCUUUUAUUCUUUUUGUUUUUUUUCUUUAGUCUAUGAAUAUAGAAUGUGUUAUAAUA